rnacentral:rRNA from 1 species
AUUGAACGCUGGCGGCAGGCCUAACACAUGCAAGUCGAACGAGUGGCGGACGGGUGAGUAAUGUCUGGGAAACUGCCUGAUGGAGGGGGAUAACUACUGGAAACGGUAGCUAAUACCGCAUACUGAUGGAUGGACCAGCGGUGCAUUAGCUAGUUGGGGGGGUAACGGCGCAACAAGGCGACGAUCCAUAGCUGGUCUGAGAGGAUGACCAGCCACACUGGAACUGAGACACGGGCCAUACUCCUACGGGAGGCAGCAGUGGGGAAUAUUGCACAAGGGUCGCAAGCCUGAUGCAGCCAUGCCGCGUGUAUGAAGAAGGCCUUCGGGUUGUAAAGUACUUUCAGCGGGGAGGCGUUACCCGCAGAAGAAGCACCGGCUAACUCCGUGCCAGCAGCCGCGGUAAUUC